rnacentral:rRNA from 1 species
GUCGCCGACGCCCGCACGAGAACUUAAAGGAAGUUGACGGGGAGCACUACAACGGGUGGAGCCUGCGGUUUAAUUGGAUCAACGCCGGAAAUCUCACCGGGGGCGACAGCAAUAUGAAGGUCAGGCUGAAGACCUUACCCGAUUAGCUGAGAGGUGGUGCAUGGCCGUCGUCAGUUCGUACUGUGAAGCAUCCUGUUAAGUCAGGCAACGAGCGAGACCCACGUCCACAGUUGCCAGCAUACCCUCCGGGGUGAUGGGUACACUGUGGAGACCGCCGCUGCUAAAGCGGAGGAAGGAGUGGGCAACGGUAGGUCAGUAUGCCCCGAAUCUCCCGGGCUACACGCGGGCUACAAUGGUUGGUACAAUGGGCAUCUACCCCGAAAGGGGAAGGAAAUCUCUUAAAGCCAAUCGUAGUUCGGAUUGAGGGCUGCAACUCGCCCUCAUGAAGCUGGAAUCCGUAGUAAUCGCGUUUCAACAGAACGCGGUGAAUACGUCCCUGCUCCUU